rnacentral:rRNA from 1 species
GACGAACGCUGGCGGCGUGCCUAAUACAUGCAAGUCGAGCGAGACUCUUCGGAGUCUAGCGGCGGACGGGUGAGUAACACGUGGGCAACCUGCCUGUAAGACUGGGAUAACACCGGGAAACCGGUGCUAAUACCGGAUAAUCCUUUUCCUCUCAUGAGGAAAAGCUGAAAGUCGGUUUCGGCUGACACUUACAGAUGGGCCCGCGGCGCAUUAGCUAGUUGGUGAGGUAACGGCUCACCAAGGCGACGAUGCGUAGCCGACCUGAGAGGGUGAUCGGCCACACUGGGACUGAGACACGGCCCAGACUCCUACGGGAGGCAGCAGUAGGGAAUCUUCCACAAUGGACGAAAGUCUGAUGGAGCAACGCCGCGUGAGCGAUGAAGGCCUUCGGGUCGUAAAGCUCUGUUGUUAGGGAAGAACAAGUACCGGAGCAACUGCCGGUACCUUGACGGUACCUAACCAGAAAGCCACGGCUAACUACGUGCCAGCCGCCGCCGUAAGAC